GGAAGAUGAAGCAGUGCCGUGGGCGGCGCGACUUGUCUUGAAAACAAGGUCUCGGCGACGAGUUGAGUGGGGUUCGAGUCCUCCGUCUUCCG
rnacentral:tRNA from 1 species